CGACAGGAAGCCUUCCACGGAUUACAGCUGGAUUUUCACUCUGUUUCUCCAAAGGCCAUGGUGGUGGUACCUUGGAGGCCUUACAAGAAAUUUAUUCAGUACAGAAGAUAAUGGAUCUUUCCAGAGCAGUCUCAACAGGACCUGGGCACAUUCAUUAAUAGCAGCCCUAGCGAAAUUGGAGUCCUUUAUCCGGGGAUGUGCAGCUGUAACUCACAAGAAAGCACGGAUACUUCUCCAUUUACGAUUCUGAAGACUUAAGAGCCUCAUCU